rnacentral:rRNA from 1 species
UACGGAGGAUGCAAGCGUUAUCCGGAUUCAUUGGGUUUAAAGGGUGCGUAGGCGGAAUAAUAAGUCAGUGGUGAAAGCCUGCGGCUUAACCGUAGAAUUGCCAUUGAUACUGUUAUUCUUGAGUAUAGUUGAGGUGGGCGGAAUGUGUAAUGUAGCGGUGAAAUGCUUAGAUAUUACACAGAACACCAAUUGCGAAGGCAGCUCACUAAGCUGUUACUGACGCUGAGGCACGAAAGCGUCGGGAGCAAACAGG